UACGAAGGGGGCUAGCGUUGUUCGGAAUUACUGGGCGUAAAGCGCGCGCAGGCGGUUUUCCAAGUCAGUGGUGAAAGCCCGGAGCUCAACUCCGGAACUGCCAUUGAAACUGUUGAACUUGAGGACGAGAGAGGUGAGUGGAAUUCCCAGUGUAGAGGUGAAAUUCGUAGAUAUUGGGAAGAACACCAGUGGCGAAGGCGGCUCACUGGCUCGUUUCUGACGCUCAGGCGCGAUAGCGUGGGGAUCAAACAGG
rnacentral:rRNA from 1 species